UACGUAGGGUGCGAGCGUUAAUCGGAAUUACUGGGCGUAAAGCGUGCGCAGGCGGUUUUGUAAGCCAGAUGUGAAAUCCCCGGGCUUAACCUGGGAAUUGCAUCUGAUACUGCUCGGCUUGAGUACGGUAGAGGAGGGUGGAAUUCCCAGUGUAGCGGUGAAAUGCGUAGAUAUUGGGAGGAACACCGGUGGCGAAGGCGGCCCUCUGGACCGAAACUGACACUGAAGCGCGAAAGCUAGGGGAGCAAACGGG
rnacentral:rRNA from 1 species